rnacentral:rRNA from 1 species
CAGUAGUCACGAGUUUGAUCCUGGCUCAGAACGAACGCUGGCGGCAUGCCUAACACAUGCAAGUCGAACGAGACCUUCGGGUCUAGUGGCGCACGGGUGCGUAACGCGUGGGAACCUGCCUUUAGGUUCGGAAUAACUCAGAGAAAUUUGAGCUAAUACCGGAUAAUGUCUUCGGACCAAAGAUUUAUCGCCUUUAGAUGGGCCCGCGUUGGAUUAGCUAGUUGGUGGGGUAAAGGCCUACCAAGGCGACGAUCCAUAGCUGGUCUGAGAGGAUGAUCAGCCACACUGGGACUGAGACACGGCCCAGACUCCUACGGGAGGCAGCAGUGGGGAAUAUUGGACAAUGGGCGAAAGCCUGAUCCAGCAAUGCCGCGUGAGUGAUGAAGGCCUUAGGGUUGUAAAGCUCUUUUACCCGAGAUGAUAAUGACAGUAUCGGGAGAAUAAGCUCCGGCUAACUCCGUG